CAGGAGAUGCUGGGGCCCAGCCAGGGCUUCCACCCCUGCGGGAGCGGGGCAGGGGCUUGGAGUCGGACACUCAGCACUGUCCUCACUUAAAGCUCUCCAGCAAUGGCAGCGUAAAGUGAUGGUCCAGGGGCGGACGGUUGGGACUCAGGAAGCUUCUUCCCAAAUAUCCCUGCCCCACUGUCUGCCAGCGACAGACACUGUGCUGAAGUUAGCCUCUGCACGGUCACCUGUAAAACUGUGAUAACAUGGGAAGGUCAAGUGAAGGCCUCAGGACACUGCCUGGCCAUUGAGAGUACUCUGUCAUGCAGGUGAUUCAUCCAACCCAGAGAGAGGUUUGUGUUGUGUUCUGGCUGGCAAAAACUUUGCAAAACAAGGAAUGCUGCUUUUCAUCAGCCUAUUCUGCAUUGGUGGUGAUGUCAGUCUAUACCCACAUCAAUUUCAGGCACUGGGAACAAAUGGGCAAGUGGGAGCUCUCCGUCUUCAGAGCCAAAGGGAGCUGCUGCCCCAGCCGUAGGCACCCCACAGGCCUUGGGCCCAGCCAUACCAAAAUAUCAGAGACCUGGAAAAUUGUAUUGGCUGCUUAACAGAAAAAAG
rnacentral:lncRNA from 1 species